rnacentral:rRNA from 1 species
AGUGAACGCUGGCGGUAGGCCUAACACAUGCAAGUCGAACGGCCGCACAGUAAGCGCUUGCUCUUAAGGGUGGCGAGUGGCGGACGGGUGAGGCAUACAUCGGCAUCUAAUUUUUCGUGGGGGAUAACGUAGGGACACUUCUGCUACUACAGCAUACGUUCUACGGCUGAAAUCAGGAGUUCUUCGCACCUUUCGUGUUAGUAUGAGCUGGUGUCGGAUUAGCUAGUUGGCGGGGUAAAGGCCCACCAAGGCGACGCUCCGUAGCUGGCCUGAGAGGGUGAUCGGCCAAACUGGAACUGAGACACGGUCCAGACUCCUACGGGAGGCAGCAGUAGGGAAUAUUGGACAAUGGGCGAAAGCCUGAUCCAGCCAUACCGCGUGGGUGAAGAAGGCCUUCGGGUUGUAAAGCCCUGUUGUUAGGAAAGAAAAACAGCAGGUGAAUACCCCGCUGUUCUGACGGUACCCAAAGAAUAAGCACCGGCUAACUUCGUG